rnacentral:rRNA from 1 species
GUGCCAGCAGCCGCGGUAAUACGGGGGGGGCAAGCGUUGUUCGGAAUUACUGGGCGUAAAGGGCGCGUAGGUGGUUUCGGAAGUCAUGGGUGAAAGUCCUCGGCUCAACCGAGGGAUUGCCUGUGAAACCACGGGACUGGAGUGCUGGAGAGGGAAGUGGAAUUCCCAGUGUAGCGGUGAAAUGCGUAGAUAUUGGGAGGAACACCGGUGGCGAAGGCGGCUUCCUGGACAGACACUGACGCUGAGGCGCGAAAGCCAGGGGAGCGAACGGGAUUAGAUACCCCGGUAGUCCUGGCUGUAAACGAUGAACACUUGGUGUAGGGGGUGAUGAAGUCCCUCUGUGCCGGAGAGAACUCGUUAAGUGUUCCGCCUGGGGAGUACGGCCGCAAGGCUGAAACUCAAAGGAAUUGACGGGGGCCCGCACAAGCGGUGGAGCAUGUGGUUUAAUUCGACGCAACGCGAAGAACCUUACCGGGGUUUGAACUGCACCUGAACGACCUAGAGAUGGGGAGGUUCCUUUCGGGGACAGGUGUAGAGGUGCUGCAUGGCUGUCGUCAGCUCGUGUCGUGAGAUGUUGGGUUAAGUCCCGCAACGAGCGCAACCCUUGUCUGUAGUUGCCAUCAGGUGAAGCUGGGCACUCUACGGAGACUGUCGGCGAGAAGCCGGAGGAAGGUGGGGAUGACGUCAAGUCCUCAUGGCCUUUAUGUCCCGGGCUACACACGUGCUACAAUGGGCGGUACAGAGGGCAGCGACCCUGUGAAGGCAAGCGAAUCCCAGAAAACCGCUCUCAGUUCGGAUUGCAGUCUGCAACUCGACUGCAUGAAGUUGGAAUCGCUAGUAAUCGCGGAUCAGAACGCCGCGGUGAAUACGUUCCCGGGCCUUGUACACACCGCCCGUCACAUCACGAAAGUGGGCUGUACUAGAAGCCGCUGGCCGAACCUUCGGGGCGGAGGCGUCGACGGUAUGGCUCAUGAUUGGGGUGAAGUCGUAACAAGGUAACCG